rnacentral:rRNA from 1 species
GUGCCAGCAGCCGCGGUAAAACGUAGGUACCGAGCGUUAUCCGGAUUUACUGGGCGUAAAGCGCGUUCAGGCGGCUUGGCAAGUCGGGCAUGAAAUCUCCGGGCUCAACCGGGAGAGGUUGUCCGAUACUGCUAGGCUUGAGGGCAGUAGAGGGUGGUGGAAUUCCGGGUGUAGUGGUGAAAUGCGUAGAGAUCCGGAGGAACACCAGUGGCGAAGGCGGCCACCUGGACUGCCCCUGACGCUGAAACGCGAAAGCUAGGGGAGCGAACGGGAUUAGAAACCCGCGUAGUCC